rnacentral:rRNA from 1 species
UAGGGAAUCUUCGGCAAUGGGGGCAACCCUGACCGAGCAACGCCGCGUGAGUGAAGAAGGUUUUCGGAUCGUAAAACUCUGUUGUAAGUCAAGAACGAGUGUGAGAGUGGAAAGUUCACACUGUGACGGUAGCUUACCAGAAAGGGACGGCUAACUACGUGCCAGCAGCCGCGGUAAUACGUAGGUCCCGAGCGUUGUCCGGAUUUAUUGGGCGUAAAGCGAGCGCAGGCGGUUUGAUAAGUCUGAAGUUAAAGGCUGUGGCUCAACCAUAGCUCGCUUUGGAAACUGUCAAACUUGAGUGCAGAAGGGGAGAGUGGAAUUCCAUGUGUAGCGGUGAAAUGCGUAGAUAUAUGGAGGAACACCGGUGGCGAAAGCGGCUCUCUGGUCUGUAACUGACGCUGAGGCUCGAAAGCGUGGGGAGCGAACAGGAUUAGAUACCCUGGUAGUCCACGCCGUAAACGAUGAGUGCUAGGUGUUGGAUCCUUUCCGGGAUUCAGUGCCGCAGCUAACGCAUUAAGCACUCCGCCUGGGGAGUACGACCGCAAGGUUG